AAAAAUACCUGGCAGGGGAGAUACCAUGAUCAUGAAGGUGGUUUCCCCAGGGCGAGGCUCACCCAUUGCACUCCGGGUGUGCUGACCCCUGCGCUCUCCCCUGAAAAAUAAAAAAAAGAAUUUGUUAACUGGGACCAGAGCAGUAACACAGUGGGUAGGGUGUUUGCCUUGC